ACGACGGGCCGGCAGCUCUCGCGUCAAUUGAGAGGCGCGGCUCGGGAAUCUCAGAGGAAACGUCACCAUCUUAAGCGUGGCGGUUGAGGGGCGGCUUUGUCAAGGUGCCAUCUUGAGCGUUGCUGCAAUCUGUUAAGGCAGACGGAAACUUACUGGAAGCUGAACUUUAGGUAUACCAGAUGAUGAUGGAAAAGCCACAAUUCAAUCCUAAGUUGUAGCUGUCCUCUUGUUCCAAAUGGUGACCAAGGCCUCCGUCAAGCUGUGCAUCAGUUCUUCAGGAACAAUAUUAAUCACAAAGCCCUUAAAAAGUUAAUAAAGAAGCGCAUAUCUACUGCAGGAUAGCUUUGAUUUCAAGUUUUAGAUAGAAGAACUUUUAAUAAUUGGUUUCACUUCAACCUUCAGAAGUGGUCACCAGAAGAACAACCAAAAGUGAUAAAGAAUGCUGUCAGAGAAUAAUGCUUGUAACAGCUCAUC